rnacentral:rRNA from 1 species
UGCGUAGGCGGUCUUGUCGGUCAGAUGUGAAAGCCCAGGGCUCAACCCUGGACGUGCAUUUGAAACAGCAAGACUUGAGUACGGGAGAGGAAAGCGGAAUUCCUGGUGUAGAGGUGAAAUUCGUAGAUAUCAGGAGGAACACCGAUGGCGAAGGCAGCUUUCUGGACCGAUACUGACGCUGAGGCGCGAAGGCGUGGGUAGCGAACAGGAUUAGAUACCCUGGUAGUCC